GUGGGUGUAGCUCAGACGGUCAGAGCACCAGGUUGUGGCCCUGGGGGUCAAGGGUUCGAGUCCCUUCACCCACCCCA
rnacentral:tRNA from 1 species